rnacentral:rRNA from 1 species
UACGGAAGGCAGCAGUGGGGAAUAUUGCACAAUGGGCGCAAGCCUGAUGCAGCCAUGCCGCGUGUAUGAAGAAGGCCUUCGGGUUGUAAAGUACUUUCAGUCGUGAGGAAGGUGUUAAGGUUAAUAACCUUAGCAAUUGACGUUAGCGACAGAAGAAGCACCGGCUAACUCCGUGCCAGCAGCCGCGGUAAUACGGAGGGUGCGAGCGUUAAUCGGAAUUACUGGGCGUAAAGGGCACGCAGGCGGUUAAUUAAGUUGGAUGUGAAAUCCCCGGGCUUAACCUGGGAAUGGCAUUCAAGACUGGUUAGCUAGAGUCUUGUAGAGGGGGUAGAAUUCCAUGUGUAGCGGUGAAAUGCGUAGAGAUGUGGAGGAAUACCGGUGGCGAAGGCGGCCCCUGGACAAAGACUGACGCUCAUGUGCGAAAGCGUGGGGAGCAAACGAGGGAUUAGAUACC